AAAAGUCGUAACAAGGUCUCCGUUGGUGAACCAGCGGAGGGAUCAUUACCGAGUUUACAACUCCCAAACCCAACUGUGAACCUUAACCUCUCGUUGCUUCGGCGGGAACGCCCCGGCUAGCCCGGACCCAGGCGCCCGCCGGAGACCCCUCAAACCCAUGUUAUCUCGUUUGAUAUCUGAGUGAAAACGCAAAAUAAAUCAAAACUUUCAACAACGGAUCUCUUGGCUCUG
rnacentral:misc_RNA from 1 species